rnacentral:rRNA from 1 species
CCUACGGGCGGCAGCAGUGGGGAAUAUUGCGCAAUGGGCGAAAGCCUGACGCAGCGACGCCGCGUGAGGGAUGAAGGUCUUCGGAUCGUAAACCUCUGUCAGCAGGGAAGAACGGUCACUGUGCUAAUCAGCAGUGAAUUGACGGUACCUGCAAAGGAAGCACCGGCUAACUCCGUGCCAGCAGCCGCGGUAAUACGGAGGGUGCGAGCGUUAAUCGGAAUUACUGGGCGUAAAGCGCUCGUAGGCGGUAUGUCAAGUCAAGGGGGAAAUCCCCGCGCUCAACGUGGGAACUGCCGUUGAAACUGGCAAACUGGAGUGUGUGAGAGGAUAGUGGAAUUCCAGGUGUAGGAGUGAAAUCCGUAGAUAUCUGGAGGAACAUCAGUGGCGAAGGCGACUAUCUGGCACAUAACUGACGCUGAGGAGCGAAAGCGUGGGUAGCAAACAGGAUUAGAUACCCCAGUAGUC